AAUAAUGUAGUUAAAUUAUAAUAUUAGAUUGUCAAUUUAAAGUUACUUUUAUUAAGUCAUUAUUU
rnacentral:tRNA from 1 species